AGGAAGGAGUAAGGGAAGGAAGAAGGGAAGGGAAAAGUGAAGGAAGGAAAGAAGACAAGGAAGGAAGGGGUAAAGGAAAAGAAGAAAGGAAAGGAAGAAGUAAGUGAAAGAAAGAAGAAAAGGAAGGAGGAAGGGAAAGGAAGGAAGGAAGGAAAUGAAGGAAAGGAAGAAAGAAAGGAAGGAAGGAAGGAGCAAGGGAAGGAAGCAGGGAAGGGAAAGAAAAGAAGAAAGCGAAGGAAGGAAAGAUGAAAAAGAAAGAAAGGAGCAAUGGAAGGAAAGAAAAAAGGAAGGAGUAAAGGAAAGAAGAAGGGAAUGGAAGAGAAAAGGAAGGAAGAAAGAAAGGAAGAAAGUCAAGGAAGAAAAGAAAGGAGUAAAGGAAAGAAGGAAGGAAGGAAAGAAAAAAGGAAGGAGUAAGGGAAGGAAGAAGGAAAAGUGAAGUAAGGAAGGAAAGAAGACAAGGAAGGAAGGAAGGAAUAAGGGAAAGAAGAAGGGAAAAGAAAGAAAGAAAGAAAGUGAAGGAAGAAAAGAAAGGAAGAAAAGGAAGAAGGGAAAGAAGAAGAAAAGACAAGGAAAGGAAGGAAGGAAGCAAAGGAAGGAAAGAAAGAAAGAAAGUGAAGGAGUAAGAAAAGAGUCCCAUAAAUAAAUAUUAAAGGGAGGGAAGGAAGGAAGGAAGGAAAAGAAGGGAAGAAGGAGACUUUCUCGCCCUCUUUUCUUGGCAAACCGGGAAUUCACUCAAGACGGGAAUCUCUGUCUGUCUGGUCGAAGCCUUUCGCGGCCGGAAUCGCUGCCUUGCUGCGAGUUUUCCGGGCCGCCUGGCCCUGUCCCCUACUUGGCGCCUUAGUCUUGGUCUCUGAGCAGCCCCGAGGCCUCUCAGCACCCCCAAAAAAGGGAAGGCGAGGCCUCCUCCACCCCGGGAACCUCCGUGGCCUGGUCCGCAAGCCGCGAGCGCCCACGGUUUCCAAUUGAGCCCAGAAAACGCGACGGAAGAGACUGAGAGACGCGCAAGAAAGGACUUGGAUUUGGAGGAGAAAGAGGGGCAGAAAAGGGGGCAGAAAGGGGGAAGGAGACCCCGCUUUGGGGGCAGACUUCUGGGGAGAGUCGGGGCCCCAAGCGGGGACGGAGCCUCGGCUUUUGGAGAGGUUUUGGGGAGCUUUUGGGGCGCCUUUUGGAGAGGUUUUGGGAAGCGUUUUAGCGAGGUUUUGGGGAGCUUUGGGACAGGCUUUUUGACGCUUUUGGGGAGCGUUUUGGAGAGGUUUUAAGGAGCUUUUGGAGAGGAUUUUGGGACGCUUUUGGGGAGCUUUUUGGGGAGCUUUUGGAGAGACUUUGGGAAGCUUUUGGGGAGCUUUUGGAGAGGUUUUGGGAAGCGUUAUAGAGAAAUUUUGGGGAGCUUUUGGACCGGCUUUGGGACGCUUUCGGAGAGGUUUCUGGGGAGCUUUUGGAGAGCCUUUGGCGUAGCUUUUUGGGGAGCUUUUGGAGAGGUUUUGGGAAGCGUUUUUAGAGAGGUUUUGGGGAGCUUUUGGACCGGUUUUGGGACGCUUUGGAGAGGUUUUUGGGGAACUUUUGGAGAGACUUUGGGGUAGCUUUUUGGGGAGCCUUUGGAGAGACUUCUGGAGAGGUUUUGGGGAGCUUUUGGAGAGUCUUUGGGAAGCUGUUGGGGAGCCUUUGGAGAGACUUUUGGAGAAGUUUUGUGGGAUGUUACGGAGAGGUUUUGCGGAGUGUUAUGGAGAGGUUUUGGGGGGCUUUUGGGUAGCUUUUGGAGAGCUUUUUGGGGAGAUUUUGGAGACUUUUCCGGGGAGCUUUUUGGGGAGGAUUAGAUGAGCUUUUGGAGAGACUGGAGAACUUUCUGGGGAGCUUUUGGAAAGGUUUUAGGGAGUCUUUGGGGAGACGUUUCUGGAGAGCUUUUGGGGACCUUUUUGGGGAGCCUUUGGGGCAUUUUUGGGCAGCUUUUUGGAGAGGCUUUGCAAAGCUUUGGGGGGCCUUUUUGGGGAGGUCUUGAGGAGCUUUUGGAGUGCUCUUUCGGAGACGUUUCGGAGAGCUUUCUGGGGAGAUUUCGCGGUGGUUUUGGGGACCUUUUUGGAGAGGUUUUGGGGACCUUUUAGGGAAGUUUUUGGAGAGCUUUUGGGAAGCAAUUCGGAGAGGUUUCGGAGAGCUUUCUGGGGAGAUUUCGCGGUGGUUUUGGGGACCUUUUAGGGAAGUUUUUGGGAAGCAAUUUGGA